GAUGAACGCUAGCGGCAGGCCUAAUACAUGCAAGUCGAACGAGAUUAAGAGGCUUGCUUCUUAUGAAAGUGGCGCACGGGUGCGUAACGCGUAUGCAACCUACCUUAAUCAGGGGGAUAGCCCGAAGAAAUUCGGAUUAAGACCGCAUAAAAACACAGGAUAGCAUUAUCCAAUGUUCAAAUAUUUAUAGGAUUAAGAUGGGCAUGCGUGUCAUUAGCUAGUUGGCGGGGUAACGGCCCACCAAGGCGACGAUGACUAGGGGAUCUGAGAGGAUGACCCCCCGCACUGGUACUGAGACACGGACCAGACUCCUACGGGAGGCAGCAGUAAGGAAUAUUAGUCAAUGGAGGGAACUCUGAACCAGCCAUGCCGCGUGCAGGAAGACAGCCCUCUGGGUCGUAAACUGCUUUUAUUCGGGAAUAAACCUUUCUACGUGUAGGAAGCUGAAUGUACCGAAGGAAUAAGGAUCGGCUAACUCCGUG
rnacentral:rRNA from 1 species